rnacentral:rRNA from 1 species
UACGGAGGGUGCGAGCGUUGUCCGGAAUCAUUGGGCGUAAAGGGCGCGUAGGUGGCCCGGUCAGUUCGUGGUGAAAGCGCGGGGCUCAACUCCGCGUCGGCCAUGAAUACUGCUGGGCUCGAGCACUGUAGAGGCAGGCGGAAUUCCGGGUGUAGCGGUGGAAUGCGUAGAGAUCCGGAAGAACACCGGUGGCGAAGGCGGCCUGCUGGGCAGUGGCUGACACUGAGGCGCGACAGCGUGGGGAGCAAACAGG